ACUGAAAUCACAUGAGAUAUAAAUGUGUUAAAUGUGAUAAGGUAAGGGAAAAAUUUGAUGUUACCUUACUAUUAGUGUUGUCCAAAACUGGUGCCAGAAGACUCGGUAAGACCAGAAACGCAAACGUUAAUCGUCCUAAUCAGGCGUAAAGGGUUUGUAGGCUGCUUAUACUAUUUCUAUUUAAAAAGCUCUGAAAAAAUCAGUUAAAUAGAGAUACAAUAAAAGCUAGAAUCAAAUUGAGGAUAAGCCGAAUAAUACUUAGAGUAGGGAUGAUAUCCAAAGAUACUAAGGGGAAUACUAAAGGUGAAAGCUUUUAUCUACUAUUGAUUGACGCUGAGAAACGAAGGUGAGAAUAGGAAAUAGGAUUAGAUACCCAAAUACCUCUCACUGUCAACGAUGAAUGGUGGUUUGUUAGUUUUAAUAAAAACUGAUAACGAUGUUAACGCGAUAACCAUUCCGCCUUGCGAGUACGGUU
rnacentral:rRNA from 1 species